rnacentral:rRNA from 1 species
UACGUAGGUGGCAAGCGUUGUCCGGAAUUAUUGGGCGUAAAGCGCGCGCAGGCGGUCCUUUAAGUCUGAUGUGAAAGCCCACGGCUCAACCGUGGAGGGUCAUUGGAAAACUGGGGGACUUGAGUGCAGAAGAGGAAAGCGGAAUUCCACGUGUAGCGGUGAAAUGCGUAGAGAUGUGGAGGAACACCAGUGGCGAAGGCGGCUUCUGUCUGUAACUGACGCUGAGGCGCGAAAGCGUGGGGAGCAAACAGGA